GAUGAACGCUGACAGAAUGCUUAACACAUGCAAGUCGAUGGGGAAGUGGUGCUUGCACCAUGGCAACCAUGGCGGACGGGUGAGUAACGCGUAAGGGACUUACCUGCAGGACUGGGAUAACAGGGGGAAACUCCUGACAAGACCGGAUAAUGUCAUGGAUCUGCAUGGCUUUAUGAUGAAAGGAGACGCCUGCGGAGAGCCUUGCGUCCUAUUAGCUAGUUGGUGAGGUAAUGGCUCACCAAGGCGAAGAUAGGUAGCCGGCCUGAGAGGGUGGACGGCCACAAGGGGACUGAGAUACGGCCCUUACUACUACGGGAGGCAGCAGUGGGGAAUAUUGGACAAUGGGGGCAACCCUGAUCCAGCAAUUCUGUGUGCACGAAGAAGGUUUUCGGAUUGUAAAGUGCUUUCAGCAGGGAAGAAGUAAGUGACGGUACCUGCAGAAGAAGCGACGGCUAAAUACGUG
rnacentral:rRNA from 1 species